AUUGAACGCUGGCGGCAGGCCUAACACAUGCAAGUCGAGCGAGCGGCGGACGGGUGAGUAAUGUCUGGGAAACUGCCUGAUGGAGGGGGAUAACUACUGGAAACGGUCGCUAAUACCGCAUACCAUCAGAUGUGCCCAGGUGGGAUUAGCUAGUAGGGGGGGUAACGGCUCACCUAGGCGACGAGCCCUAGCUGGUCUGAGAGGAUGACCAGCCAAACUGGAACUGAGACACGGGCCAGACGCAUAGGGGAGGCAGCAGGGGGAAUAUUGCACAAUGGGCGCAAGCCUGAUGCAGCCAUGCCGCGUGUGUGAAGAAGGCCUUCGGGUUGUAAAGCACUUUCAGCGGGGAGGCGUUACCCGCAGAAGAAGCACCGGCUAACUCCGUGCCAGCAGCCGCGGUAAUAC
rnacentral:rRNA from 1 species